rnacentral:rRNA from 1 species
UACGUAGGGGGCAAGCGUUAUCCGGAAUUAUUGGGCGUAAAGAGUGCGUAGGUGGUUACCUAAGCGCAAGGUUUAAUCUAGUGGCUCAACCACUUCUUGCCUUGCGAACUGGGCUACUUGAGUGCAGGAGGGGAAAGCGGAAUUCCUAGUGUAGCGGUGAAAUGCGUAGAUAUUAGGAGGAACACCAGCGGCGAAGGCGGCUUUCUGGACUGUAACUGACACUGAGGCACGAGAGCGUGGGUAGCAAACA